rnacentral:ncRNA from 2 species
GCCAUCCUUCGGGGCGGGGCGAAAUUCCCCACCGGCGGUGAUCACGCUCCGGCCACCCACAAGGCCCGCGUGUCAGCCCGCGAAGCCGCGCCUAGAUGCAGUGCAGGCCUGGCCCGACCUGGUGAAAUUCCAGAGCCGACGGUCACAGUCCGGAUGAGAGAAGGAGGAA